UGCGAAAAUAGCUCAGCUGGUAGAGCGCAACCUUGCCAAGGUUGAGGUCGCGGGUUCGAACCCCGUUUUUCGC
rnacentral:tRNA from 1 species